UACGUAGGGCGCAAGCGUUGUCCGGAAUUAUUGGGCGUAAAGAGCUCGUAGGCGGCUUGUCGCGUCGGUUGUGAAAGCCCGGGGCUUAACCCCCGGGUCUGCAGUCGAUACGGGCAGGCUAGAGUGCGGUAGGGGAGACUGGAAUUCCUGGUGUAGCGGUGAAAUGCGCAGAUAUCAGGAGGAACACCGGUGGCGAAGGCGGCCCACUGGUCCGGUACUGACGCUGAGGUGCGAAAGCGUGGGGAGCAAACAGG
rnacentral:rRNA from 1 species